ACUAAUUCCUCCUGCAUGACUUGCAUUUACUCUCUGCUGUCCCACCUGAGGGGCUUGGAUCCCUGGCAGCUGGAGGACUUCAAACUAGCCCUGCAGUGCCCGGAGCUGCUGCCGGAGGGCGCCCGCAGGAUCCCCUGGGCAGACCUGAGAGCCGCGGGCCCCGCCGACCUGCUCUGCCUGCUGGAGGAGCGCUUCCCCGGGAGGCGGACGUGGGAGGCGGCCCUCCGCGUCUUUGAGGACCUGCGGCUGAGCUCGCUGUGCGAGCGGAUGCGAGCAGAGCUGCACGGUGAGCGGACGGCGGGCGCGCUGCGGGGCGUUUCCGGGCAGAAUCUCAGCAUCCCAUCCUGUUUCGUUUCAGAAAUGUCACAGGUGUGCAGACUCCAAGAUCCAAACCAGGAAGAACCAGAGACGCUGGAAGAGACAGCCCACAGAAGAAGAUACAGGGAGAGGCUGAGGACCCGGAUCCUGGCCCUGUGGGACCGCACGCCCUGGCCCGAGGACCACAUCUACCUGCGGCACGUGACGCAGCGGGAGCACGCGGAGCUGCGGGGCCUCCUGCGCCCGCGGGGGGCCGGGGCGCCGCCCCUCACCAUGCUGCUGGAGGGUGCGGCCGGCGUGGGCAAGACCACCCUGGCCACCAAGCUGGUGCUGCACUGGGCGGAGGGCGUCCUCUUCCGGGGCCGCUUCUCCUACGUUUUCUACAUCAGUGGCCACUGGCUGGCCAAGCUCGGCGACAUCAGCUUCGCUGGUCUGCUGGCCCUGGACUGGCCGGACUCGCAGGUCCCCGUGGAAGAGUUCAGGGCGCACCCCGAGCGGCUGCUGUUCGUCAUCGACGGCGCGGAAGAGGUGACCCUGGGCUCCAAGGGCUCGGCCAGCCGGCCCGGCGCCGACUGGUACCAGGAGCUCCCGGCGGCCAGCAUCCUAGUCCGCCUGCUGAAGAAGGAGCUGGUCCCCGAGGCGACCUUGCUUGUCACCGCUGGGCCCCCCGGAGGCUGCGCCCUCCGCGGGCUGCUGCUCAGGCCGUGCCGCGUGGACAUCCCGGGCUUCACCGAAGGGGACCGCCGGGAGUAUCUCAGGAGGUUCCUGGGGGACCCGGACGUGGCCGAGGAGGCCUGGCGCCGGAUGCAGGGGUCAGAGACCCUGGUCCGCUUGUGCGCCGCGCCGCUGGCGUGUUGGGCCGUGUGCGCCGGCCUCAAGCGGCAGCUGGCCGGCAGCCCGGCACCGGCGCCGGGCGCGCCCACCCCCACCGGCCUCUACGCCCGCCUCUUCUGCAGCCUCCUCGCUGGGGCGGAGCCGGGUCUGCGGACCGGCAGCUCGGCCGGACAGUGGAGGGCCUUCUGCUCGCUGGCCGCCGAGGGGCUGUGGCUGGCCGCCUUCACCUUUGCAGGAGACGCCCUGGAGCGCUGGCGCCUGGAAGCCCCUUUCAUCGACGGUCUGCUGAGGCUGCAGAUUCUUCGAAGGGUCAGCGAUUGUGAGCACUGCGUGACGUUUGCUCACCGGAGCUUCCAGGAGUUCUUCGGGGCCUUGUUCUACGUGCUCUGGGGGGCUCAAGGCUCGCUGGGCGGGGUCCCCCGGCAUCAGGAGAUGAGGCGGUGGCUGAACCACGCCUUUGCUGACGCCAACCCCUACUGGCGUCAGAUGGUGCGCUUUUUCUUCGGUCUCUUAGGAACAGACCUGGCCAGGCAACUGGAAGAGGCCGUGGGUUGCCGGAUGUCCCCCGGGGUGGCCGACGAGGUGUUGGACUGGGCGGAGGAGCUGGAGAGGUGCGGCGCCGUCUCGGGGCGCUUUGACUUCCUGUGGCUCUUCCAGUGCCUGCACGAGACCCAGGACGAAAACUUGGCCCGGCGGGUUUUGAAUCACCUCCCAGUGGCCGAUCUGGACAUUCAGGGCUGCGAACACCUCCGGGUCUCUUCCUUUUGCCUCAAGCACUGUCAGAAGUUACGAAAGCUGAGGCUCUCUGUCAGCCACCGUGUCCUGGAAAAGAAACGGACUUCCGGCCUGGGAACUCCGGAGGUUGCCGAUUUCCGGAUGCAUCAGUGGGAGGAUAUUUGCUCGGUGUUUUGCAGCGGGAACCUGAGCCAGCUGGACCUGAGUAACAGCAAACUUAGCACUGCCUCCAUGAUGAGACUCUGUCUCAAGCUGGGAAACCCACAGUGCAGACUUCAGAAACUGGCCUGGAAGUCCAUGGCCCCUGUGGAGGGUCUGAGGAAGCUUGGUCUUCUGCUUCGUGGUGACCGGCACCUGACCCACCUGGACCUGAGCUCCAACAGCCUGGACACCGCUGUGUCCAGGGGCGUGUUCAGAAUGCUGGGGCACUCAGCCUGUGGCCUCAAGUAUCUGUGGCUGGAGAAGGGGAACCUGUCAGCGGCCGCCUGUGAGGACUUGGCCUCACUUCUCACCAGCACCCCCCGCCUGACUCGACUGUGCCUGGGACUGAACCCGCUCGGAGAUGAGGGCGUGCAGCUGCUGUGUGGCUCCCUGACUCGGCCUGAGUGUGUCCUGCAGAGACUGGAGCUCUGGUGCUGCCGGCUCAGCACGCCCAGCUGCAGGCACCUGUCGGACGCCCUCCUCCGGAGCCGGAGCCUGACGCAUCUGAACCUGAGGAGGAACAGCCUGGGAGACGGGGGAGUGAAGCUUCUGAGCUCAGCCCUGGGCCGGAUUGAACCCAUGUCUCUUGUGUCUCUCUCCUUGGCAGGUGGCUUCUUUACCACUGAGCCACCUGGGAAGCCCUUCAGUAUGUGUCCCCCUAAAUUCUGUGUCCCUUUUGUCUGUAACUCCUCCAUCUUGGAGGACCAUCUUUCACGCUUCUGUCCCACCACCCCUAGGUUGGAGAAAUGCAGUUUGACGGCCGCUUGCUGCCGGCCACUGUCCUCUGUUCUCGGAAGCAGUAAAAGCCUGGAGAACCUGAACCUUUUAGGAAACGACCUGGGGCCAGACGGAGUCAGCAGGCUGUGGAUGCCCUUGAGAAAGCUGACGUGCAAGCUGCGGAAACUCGGGUAA
rnacentral:lncRNA from 1 species